rnacentral:rRNA from 1 species
UACGGAGGAUGCAAGCGUUAUCCGGAAUGAUUGGGCGUAAAGCGUCCGCAGGUGGCUGUGUAAGUCUGCUGUCAAAGAGCGAAGCUCAACUUCGUAAAGGCAGUGGAAACUACACGGCUAGAGUGCGUUCGGGGCAGAGGGAAUUCCUGGUGUAGCGGUGAAAUGCGUAGAGAUCAGGAAGAACACCGGUGGCGAAGGCGCUCUACUAGGCCGCAACUGACACUGAGGGACGAAAGCUAGGGGAGCGAAUGGG